GGAGUUUGGUCCGUGUCUCAGUACCAAUGUGGGGGACCUUCCUCUCAGAACCCCUACUGAUCGAUGGCUAGGUGGGCCGUUACCCCGCCUACUACCUAAUCAGACGCAUCCCCAGCCCAUACCGGAAAAACCUUUCAUACAACUCAGAUGCCUUCAUCGUACUACAUAGAGUAUUAAUCCGACUUUCGCCGGGCUAUCCUCUACUAAGGGGAAGGUUGGAUACGCGUUACUCACCCGUGCGCCGGUCGCCAUCAACAAAAGCAAGCUUUCGUCAUGAUGCCCCUCGACUUGCAUGUGUUAAGCCUGUAGCUAGCGUUCAUC
rnacentral:rRNA from 1 species